rnacentral:rRNA from 1 species
UACGUAGGUUGCAAGCGUUGUCCGGAAUUAUUGGGCGUAAAGCGCGCGCAGGCGGUCCUUUAAGUCUGAUGUGAAAGCCCACGGCUCAACCGUGGAGGGUCAUUGGAAACUGGGGGACUUGAGUACAGAAGAGAAGAGUGGAAUUCCACGUGUAGCGGUGAAAUGCGUAGAGAUGUGGAGGAACACCAGUGGCGAAGGCGACUCUUUGGUCUGUAACUGACGCUGAGGCGCGAAAGCGUGGGGAGCAAACAGG